AGCGAUUCUCCAGCCUCAGCCUCCCAAAUAGGUGGGACUACAGGUGGCGUCGGACCCCUGUCAGAGAGUAAAUCUCAAGUAAGGUACCUGCCAUCGGCAGAUUUGAGCUUUCUUCUUGGACACCUAAUACCCACAGUCCUCCAGGCUCCGGUAGACUGCAAAUGACCUGCUUUCUUUCUGUUCCCGGGCUGCGUUUGGACCCCUGUCGGAUAGUAAAUCCCAAGCUCCGGUAGACUGCAAAUGACCUGCUUUCUUUCUGUUCCCGGGCUGCGUUUGGACCCCUGUCGGACAGUAAAUCCCAAGUAAGGUACCUGCCCUCGGCAGAUUUGAGCUUUCUUCUUGGACACCUAAUACCCACAGUCCUCCAGGAAUGGAACAGAUAAGAAGAUACUGAAAUUGGACGGUGCUGCCGUGCGGCUGCCGCAGGACACCUUUAAUAUCCCUGUUUCUCAGGCUGUAGAUGAAGGGGUUCAGCAUGGAGGUGAUCACCGUGUACAUCACUGAGGCCACUGCAGCCUUUCUCGGGGAAGAUGACACAUCUGAACUGAGGUACCCUCCAAAGCCUGUUCCGUAAAAUCAGCAAACAACUGACAGGAUAACUUCAGGAAGUGGGUAUUAAUUCUCACGGUAUAAGUGAAGACAUUAAGCACCAGAGUUUAAGUAGCUUGAUCCACUGAAAGAGAUUCAACUGUGUGGAACCUAUGCCGUGGAGAAUUGCUUUCUGCCAUUGUUAUCGUCCAGCAGUUGCCGAAUAGCUCUGACCUGAGCAAAGCAGUGAAACGCGGUGCUGUUGAGUGGGUUGCCACUGCACCUUUUUCAACUACUCUAGUCUUGUGGAGAAAAUACCCCUUCUAAAUUUUUUCUUCAUUGAAUACUCUCCCUCAGCUCCAGAGUACCAUAUAGAGUUUUCUUGUAUUUUAGAGUUACUGUUUUAUCAAAGUUUACCAGUCUUUUGUAUUACAUUUCUCCUGUCUAAAUCGACUGUGUGGUUUCUACUCAUUAUGGAUAUAGAUUGAUACAAACUCAAUAAAUAUUUUUGAAUGAAUAACUCCACAGUCCAAGUU
rnacentral:lncRNA from 1 species